AAUAUUGCACAAUGGGGGAAACCCUGAUUCAGCGACGCCGCGUGAGCGAAGAAGACCUUCGGGUCGUAAAGCUCUGUCCUAAGGGAAGAAACGGACGGUACCUUAGGAGGAAGCCCCGGCUAACUACGGGCCAUCAGCCGCGGUAAUACGUAGGGGGCAAGCGUUAUCCGGAUUCAUUGGGCGUAAAGGGUGCGUAGGCGGCCCUAUAGGUCAGAGGUCAAAGGCUACGGCUCAACCGUAGUAAGCCUUUGAAACUGUAGGGCUUGAGUGCAGGAGAGGAGAGUGGAAUUCCUAGUGUAGCGGUGAAAUGCGUAGAUAUUAGGAGGAACACCAGUGGCGAAGGCGACUUUCUGGACUGUAACUGACGCUGAGGUACGAAAGCGUGGGUAGCGAACA
rnacentral:rRNA from 1 species